GAUGAAGAAACGCAGCGAAAUGCGAUAAGUAAUGUGAAUUGCAGAAUUCAGUGAAUCAUCGAAUCUUUGAACGCACAUUGCGCCCAUUAGUAUUCUAGUGGGCAUGCCUGUUCGAGCGUCAUUUCAACCCUUAAGCCUCUGUUGCUUAGCGUUGGGAGCCUACCUACCCGGUAGAUCCUCAAAGUUAGCUGGCAGGGUCGAGGUUCGCCCUAAGCGUAGUAGUUCUUUCUCGCUUCUGCGGCUGCCUAGGCCAUCGCCACAAGCCUUUUAAACUUCAAUGGUUGACCUCGGAUCAGGUAGGAAUACCCGCUGAACUUAAGCAUAUCAAUAAGCGGAGGA
rnacentral:misc_RNA from 1 species